rnacentral:lncRNA from 1 species
GGUUAUGCUUGGCUUUGCAACCAUCAGGAAAGGCCUCACGUCUGCCUAACUGCAAAACAAUUUGGUUGGCUUAUAAAUUGCUGCCUCUAUCAUGUGCUUCUGAAUUAAAAGGAACGGAUGGUUUUUAAAGGUUUAUCUGUUUCAUUAUUGAUGCAGAAUGACCUCGUGCUGACAAAUUUCGAUUUUCACACGGUUUCUUUGCUGAUGCAGUAUCUCUGCCACCCAUGCUCUAGGGCAGCGUGGAGCCACUUCAGAGCAUGGCUUUUGUGAGCCAGCGCCCAGCAGGGUGUUCUUUUCUGAGUGCAAAGAGAGAAUCCACUGACCUCAUUUGCUUCCAUCCUGUGAACCUCUCAGUGUGUUUCAGAACACCAGGGUCUGAACAGAGAAGCUUCAGAAUACUUUCUCCGACUAGAGAACUUUUUUAUGGUGGGAGGAAAAAAUGUUGCCAGUCCCACUUCACAGACACCUGGAAUUCAUGAAGUCUGAGGACUUCUUUCAUUUUACUUUCAACUAAAAGCUCUAGCACGAAACAGCAAAGGCUCACAGAACUAAAGAUCAGGAGGUGGCCCUGUGAGAGGGUGUUCAGCCUGGAUCCCUGGUGAAACUCCAUCAUUGAGCAGCAUAUCUACUUCAGAAAGCGUGGAAAGAAAAGAGCCUGGUGGGAAAAGUCUAUCAAGUGAUAGUGACGUGCCCUUAUGGAAAAAAUUCUGGGUUCAGAAACAAUAGAGAUACCAAACAAGAUAAGACUAAGCCACAGAGGUAUCUGAAAAGCUGCCAUCAAUCAAAGCUCUUUGUGAAGCUGGUUAGUGCAGGUUCCAUUGUUCUAAGGAGCAGGCAAAAGGAACAAAUAAAAUCCAGCUGUUUCUUCAUUCUUGCACCAGGUGAGUCCCAGUAUCAAUACUUCAUUCAUUGUGGAGUAAGGGGAAAGUGGCCUUCAUUUCCUUUCUCAUUCCAUUUUGAAACCUCAGAUUUCUUUCUUUCUGCCAAUGAUACCCAGUUGUUGAGUCAUAGCCACCUGGGCUCUAGUUCUGGCAUUGCUUGCAAUGUCAUCAUGAGAACCUGAUAGAUGGUGUUAAUAGCAGAGUUUAGACUUACUGAUCAAGAAAAAAAUACUUUUAGAUUGCUUACCUUUGGAGGGUUUUGCUAUGUUUAAAGAAAGUCAGUUUUUGACACUCAAAUUUAAUUGACUGUCCUAUAUAGCAGUCAUUUCACAUGAUAAUUUUUUUCACAAAAUAAAGGAAUUUAGUGCGCUAAAAGUUUCCUGAAUGGUGGGAUGUUGAUAAAAGUAAAGUUGUGAAUUGGGGGGGUCACGUGAACCAGGAUUUAAUUGCAUUUGUGCCACUUGGUGUUAGACCCUUUCUCUACUCAUAUUAACUCUACCUCUGUUGUUCAUAGUUUCCUUACUCGCAAAUUAACAUAACUGUGUGAUUUUUGUGGACUCUAGAAAAACAUCUUGUGGGAUGGAUUUCUAGAUUUAGAAAUGCUUUUAGCAUUUAUUAACACCCAUAACCUAGGAAAUGAAAGUAAUAAAAAUAAUAUUUUGGUAAGACAGAAAAUCUGUUUUCAUUUCUCCUUUUUGAUAUUUUUAAUUGGUUGGGGCAGAAAGUUCUUUUGUGUUCUUGUGUGGGCAUGUAUAUGCUAAUGAAUUUGAGAUGAGGAGCCACUGUCUUUAAGACAACUCUCCCUUAUGAUGUUUUGCAUACAUGUAUAUUCUCUUUCACUCUAGAUUCAACUUCGAAUAAACACCAUGCUCUCAGCCAAGGAAGAGUAAAUCUAGCAUUAGUCAUGACUGUCUUGUUUCGCCCACGUGGAAGAAUCUCACAUCCAUUCGUCUCCGUGUUUCCCUGUAUUGUUUUUGAUCUUUUAGCUUCGAGAGAUUCUUCCCAGCUUCUAGAACUCCCAAGUGAUCCCUGAGCAUAGUCCAGAACUACCAGAAAGAGUAUUUUUCCAACAAGUUUCCAAAGUAUUUGUUGGUAUGGGGUGUUGACUACAAGAGCAAUCAAUAACUCUGCUUGGAGUUUUCUAUAGCUGUAAUGCAAGCCUGACUAAUAAAUCCAACCGAGGCACCCAGACAGACAGGCAAUAUUUUCAUCCAUGUGUUGAGGCCUUUGCAUAUUCUGGACAAUGUGGGUUAGGCACUUCACGUACCUUUCUUUGCUUAGUCUUCAUAACAGCUGAGUGAAUCAGGUAAUAUAGUAUAGUCUCCACUUUGUUGAGAGUUUAGGUAACUUGCUCAAGACCACUCAAACAUUUGCCCCUGGUUCCAAAUGCUGCAGUCUUAACUACUUAAAACAUUGUUGGUCGGACAUGGUGGCUCAUGCCUGUAAUCCCAGUAUUUUGGGAGGCUGAGGC